AGAGUUUGAUCCUGGCUCAGGAUAAACGCUGGCGGCGUGCUUUAUGCAUGCAAGUCGAACGGUUCCGAUUUAUCGGGAUAGUGGCGAACGGGUGAGUAACGCGUAAGUAACCUGCCCCUAAGUAGGGAAUAACUAUGAGAAAUCGUAGUUAAUACCGUAUGUGGUGAUGGAGGUAGUGCUCCAUCACUAAAGCCUUCGGGUGCUUGGGGAGGGGCCUGCGUCUGAUUAGCUAGUUGGUAAGGUAACGGCCUACCAAGGCGAUGAUCGGUAGCUGGUUUGAGAGGACGAUCAGCCACACUGGGACUGAGACACGGCCCAGACUCCUACGGGAGGCAGCAGCAAGGAAUAUUGUGCAAUGGGCGGAAGCCUGACACAGCGACGCCGCGUGGGGGAUGAAGGCCUUCGGGUUGUAAACCCCUUUUCCCAGGGAAGAAUAAUGACGGUACCUGGGGAAUAAGUCUUGGCUAACCUACGUGCCAGCAGCCGCGGUAAUACGUAGAAGGCAAGCGUUAUCCGGAUUUAUUGGGCGUAAAGAGGGUGUAGGCGGUUCUUCAAGUCGGACGUAAAAUCUCCCGGCUUAACUGGGAGGGACAAUUCGAUACUGUUGGGCUUGAGGAUAGCAGAGGGAGGUGGAAUUCCCGGUGUAGUGGUGGAAUGCGUAGAUAUCGGGAGGAACACCAGUGGCGAAGGCGGCCUCCUGGGCUAUUUCUGACGCUGAGGCCCAAAAGCGUGGGGAGCGAACAGGAUUAGAUACCCUGGUAGUCCACGCUGUAAACGAUGGACACUAGGUAUAGGGAGUAUCGACCCUCUCUGUGCCGAAGCUAACGCUUUAAGUGUCCCGCCUGGGGACUACGGCCGCAAGGCUAAAACUCAAAGGAAUUGACGGGGCCCCGCACAAGCAGCGGAGCGUGUGGUUUAAUUCGAGGCUACGCGAAGAACCUUACCUGGGUUUGACAUGCACGUAGUAGGAGCCGAUGGUGACCGACCCUUCGGGGAGCGUACACAGUGCUGCAUGCUGUCGUCAGCUCGUGCGUGAGGUGU
rnacentral:rRNA from 1 species